AGAGAGUAUAGUGGGAAAAUCUCAGCUCCCCUUUGAACUCCUGGGCUCAAGUGAUCCUCCCACCAUAAUCUUCCAGGUAGCUGGGACCACAGUAUGCUGAGGUGGCCAAGAGCACAGGUUCAAAUCAAGACCAUGAAUUGAGCCAAGUGCAGUGUGUGCAAAGAGCUUCAAUGUGCCAAGCAUUUUAGAUGCAUUAACUUGAUUCAUCUUCACAAAACCCCUAUGCAUCGUUGAUAUUUUAUUGCCAAUUUCAAGAUUGAAGAACUGAGAAUCAAAGAAUCAGCUCUCUUUUCCAAGGUCACACAGCUAAUAAAGUCAGGAUUUGAACUCAG
rnacentral:lncRNA from 1 species